rnacentral:rRNA from 1 species
CCUACGGGAGGCAGCAGUAGGGAAUUUUCGGCAAUGGGGGGAACCCUGACCGAGCAACGCCGCGUGAACGAAGAAGUUAUUCUUAAUGGAAAGUUCUUUUAACAGGGAAGAAAGAGAAAUUUGACGGUACCUGCCGAAUAAGCUCCGGCAAACUACGUGCCAUCAGCCGCGGUAAUACGUAGGGAUCGAGCGUUAUCCGGAAGUAUUGUGCGAAAAGGGUGCGUAGAUGGCAUAGUAAGUCGGUUGUAAAAAUGCUGGGCUCAACCUAGUAGAGCAAAAGAUACUGCAAAGCUAGAGUAUGACAGAGGUAAGUGGAACUACAUGUGUAGCGGUAAAAUGCGUAAAUAUAUGUCAGAACACCAGUGGCGAAGGCGGCUUGCUGGGUCGAUACUGACAUUGAGGCACGAAAGCGUGGGGAGCAAACAGGAUUAGAUACCCCUGUAGUC